AACGAACGCUGGCGGCAGGCUUAACACAUGCAAGUCGAACGCCUGUAGCAAUACAGGAGUGGCAGACGGGUGAGUAACACGUGGGAACGUGCCCAAAGGUACGGAACAACUCCGGGAAACUGGAGCUAAUACCGUAUGUGCCCGAAAGGGGAAAGAUUUAUCGCCUUUGGAUCGGCCCGCGUCUGAUUAGCUAGUUGGUGGGGUAAUGGCCUACCAAGGCGAAGAUCAGUAGCCGGUCUGAGAGGAUGGCCAGCCACACUGGGACUGAGACACGGCCCAGACUCCUACGGGAGGCAGCAGUGGGGAAUAUUGGACAAUGGGCGCAAGCCUGAUCCAGCCAUGCCGCGUGAGUGAUGAAGGCCUUAGGGUUGUAAAGCUCUUUCGCCAGGGACGAUAAUGACGGUACCUGGAUAAGAAGCCCCGGCUAACUUCGUGCCAGCAGCCGCAGUAC
rnacentral:rRNA from 1 species